rnacentral:misc_RNA from 1 species
GAUGAAGAACGUAGCGAAAUGCGAUACUUGGUGUGAAUUGCAGAAUCCCGUGAACCAUCGAGUCUUUGAACGCAAGUUGCGCCUCAAGCCAUUAGGUUGAGGGCACGUCUGCCUGGGCGUCACAUAUCGUUGCCUGAUGCCAGUUUCCUCGUGAUGGGUGACUGUGCAGGGCGAAUGAUGGCUUCCCGUGAGCAUUGUUGCCUCAAGGUUGGUUGAAAAUUGAGUCCUUGGUAGGGAGCGCCGUGAUAGAUGGUGGUUGAGUGACGAACGAGACCCAAUCAUGUGAGACCCCUACCGAAUUUGGCCUUCAUGACCCACAUGCGUCUUUGGAACGCUCAUGACGAGACCUCAGGUCAGGCGGGGCUACCCGCUGAGUUUAAGCAUAUCAAAAGCGGAGGA